rnacentral:lncRNA from 1 species
AGCGGAGUUGGAUCCGAAGGCACAGCGCGUGGUGUGCUGCUGUGCCGAGUGUGAGGAGAAGCAGCCCGACUUCGCCCAACGCGUGCCCAUGACCUUCUCUGCAUGGGAGAAGCACUGCGGCUCCAAGAACAAGAAGUGGCACACGGUGAGUUCAGCUCCCUAAGUUCGCGUGUUUCCCCUCCACCGCACGCUCAGAACCCAGGUCAUGAGGUUGGCUAGUCAGGGCGGGGGCGGGGCGUAAACGGGUCCGCACUAAACACGAAUGCUUGCGGCUUGCCCAUGGAAGUCGCAUGCCCAGAAUGGAGCGUGCCGCUACGGUAGCCAUGUGGCAGGGGAGUAUACCGUAUCUGUCUGCGGGCAUGUUGUGUAGUAGCCACUCGGUUGGUUGAUGGGAAGGGCCUAGCUUAUUGAGCUUGCCGGGAGCAAGGCCUUUGAGCUCUUCUUGUGGCGGGCAGCUGGGCUGAUGAUUGCGUGAUGUAACACAGAGCCUGAAGGUCGUGCCUGGGUCGGGGCUGGAGGCGGUGCCGGCUGACAACAGGCCGGUGUCCAUCUGUGCCUGGCUGGCGGGGAAGAAGCUCAAGGUGGGCAAGUUCGCCCGCGCCGGCAUCGUGGGUAAGUGGGCUCGCCGUGCAGUUACUGCAGUACGGUAUGCGUCUGCUACCAUACAGGUUCUACAGGUUCCUUGCUGGAUUGGUACGGGAAAUAGAAAUAGAAAUAGAUACACCCUGCCGUAGGCAAGUGGUGUGGUUUAAGGGAGUGGGGGGAGAUGAGGAGGUGGGUCCGACCCACCUCCUGUACGCCCCCACUACCGAGCAUUUGGCGGCGGGCGGGCGUGCAGGCUAGGCCUGCGCCCCGCCGGGAUGCUACAUCCCUUCUGGGUUGCCGGUUGGCAGUCCCCGUUCGAGGCGCCGACGGGUCAGGACUAUGUGGUUGAGGGUGGCGACUGCGUGGUCGUGUAGGGUGUCGCAGCACUGCCUCGCUUUGUGGGAGGUGACGCCCAGGGAGGUGAGGAGGGGGUGGAGAUCUUUGUGGAUUGUACCUGCAAACCCGAGGCUGAUGGCACUCUGUGGGGUGUAUUGCACUUUCCAUCCCGCUUCCCGCAGGUCGGCUGCAAGGGCCUGGUGCUGUUGUGCUUUUUCGUGUUGCUUGGCGGCGUGGUUCGUGUCGGCGGUGUAUCCUGCUUCGAUGAUGUGGAUGGUGUCGUGUUCGCUGGGCAGCACGACAAAGUCUGGGUUUAGGGCUGCGGCGAGGGAGAUGGAAGGAAUUAGUAGGAUGUCGGGGCGGUAGUGUAGGUGGCGUCCUGCUGGUUUGCCCUCCUGGUCGGGGAGCAGCCAUGGCGGCAAGCGGUUGUCAGCCGCGUAGUCUGGCAGAUCGGCUUUAGACGUGGCGUCCAUUACCAUGUAGCAGCCGCCGCAGUCACCGCGGGAGAUGGCUCGUGCGAUGGCCUGGACUGCAAUGUUGUGUCGUUUAAUGUACAUUGCACGGAGUUGGGGGUUGUGGCAGCCUCCCAGUAUGUGGCCGCCGGAGUCGGGUCCGCGGCAGAGUGGGCAUGGGGCGGGGGUAUCGGGGCCAGCGCGGGGGGCUCGGCGGCCUGUAACUGUGCGGCCGAAGCGGGCUGCGAGUUUGUUGUUCCACAGUUGCCCGUAUAAGUAGUCCAUGCAGCGUUUGGCCUUGCGGUGUCGGCCUGAUUGCAGGUUCAGGGUUCGGGUGCUGGAUUUGAUAUCCAGGUCUGGGAUGGCGUUGGCUACGAAACCAGUGUAGAGGGUUUCGCGGGUGUGGCCUUGGGCGAUGUGCGGGGCUGCGAGCGUGGCGAUGCCGCGGUUGAGGUCAUGCGCGUAGUGUCCUUCGUUCUUCUCUCGUGGCACCCCUUCCACAGUCGGUUUGAUAGUUUUACGUAUCCAGUAGUAUUUACUACGCGGGUCGUUAUCGGACUCCUCGACCAGCCACUCGGCCCCGGGCAUCUCUUCUCCCUUGGCGGUUUUCACCGCCGCCUGAUCUGCGAGUUCAUUGUACGUGAUCCCUGAAUGUGCUUUGACCUUGAGGAGGUUUGUCCGACGGCCGGCGUGGGAGCGGCGUUUCAGGAGCGCGAGGAUGUUAUCCAGCAGCGCUUUGUGUUUGCUGAAGGUAAGGAGUUGGGGCUGGUUGAUUGUUUUGCGGAUGAGGAAUAACGACGCAGCGGAGUCGGUGUAGACUGUGACUUCGGGGAGCGCUUGCACUUCGUCGAGCUUGAGCACUUGGUGUAUGGCCGAGAGCUCGCAUCUUGUUAUGGUGUUGCAGCCGUGUUGUCCAGGGUUGACGUCGAUCUGAUACGUUUGGGACGUGCGGGCAUCGAUCGCUGCGGCCCCCCACGCGCUGGGCUGACCAAGGGCGUCUUUCUGUACUGAGCCAUCGGUGUAGAAGCCUUCGCGGGGAUUGAGGCGUAGGGGUUGGGUGGCCACGAACGGGGCCAGGGUGGCUGGCGUGGCCGGUACGGGAGGGGGUGUAUUCGGCGGACCUGUUUGGUCACCCACCGUGUGUGGGCCCAGGUGAGUUGGGGCUGCGGUUCGACGGGCAUGCCUGAGAGGUAUAGAGACGUGCCUAGGGCGUCGCGUAUGGACUGGGCAAGUCGGGCUCCGGGUGUAUUGCUGACCAGCACCAGGUCAUGUUUUAAGGUGAUGCCUGCGUCGUUGUGGAUCUGGCCGAGGAGGGCGUGUGUUGCUGUGGCGGAAAUGCUGCCAAGGAGUGUGACUCUGGGGUGGGCGAGGUAUCGUGUGUAUGGCGCGUUGCGUUGGGUGGGGAGGAUGAUCAGCGUGGCAGUGGUUGGCGGGUUGCGGGUGUUUGUCAGGGUUUCGGUGUGUUCGGCCCAUGCCAGUGCCCAUCGGACCGCGUGUGCUCCGUCUUCGGUGUUGGGUUCGGGGUAGGCGACAGCAAUUCCAUCCCAUGGCUGGGAGUACGCGUCAUAGUUGGCCCCAAAGAGCAUGUCUUCUUCGUACAGUGUGUAGUAGGUGGUGGCGGCUUCCGAGACGUUAAGGGGUGAUGCGAAGAGCUCUGUUGUGCUGCCUAUUGCCGUGUGCAGGGUUUGUGUCAAUCCGUCGCACAGAAUGCGUUCUCCUUUUUCAGUGACAGGGUGGGAUUUGGAGCCGCCCCCGGGUUUGUAUCGGAGGAGCAGGCGGGCGAUGGCCGCCGCAAAGCCUCUGCCCUGGUCGUAUUUGGCGUGCGCUUCGGGCCAGGUUGUUUGUGCAUGCUGGUAGCGUUGCCAGAGGAGGUUGAGCCGCUCUGCGCUGAUGGUGCCCAUGCACCGUCCGCGGGGGUCGUACACAUGCGCCAGGUGAGUGCUGUGUGCCGUGGAGCCAGGGUCGGGGAGGAUACCGAGCUGGGUGGUGUAUGUUUGUGUGGGGUAGAUGUCUCGACUAGGGUUGCAGGGCUCAACGUUGAUAUCUACGUAGUGGCGCAGAGUGCGCUGCCCUCGUGCUGUGUCAUUGCUGGCGUCUGUCCAGCGGCCCUGUCGCUGGUCAGGGUUUAGGUGCGUGUCACUAGCGGGGGCCGGGGGGCGGGGGGCCAGGGGGACAGCAAGGCGGGCGUGCAGGGCGUCCAGGAGUUCUUGUUUGUUGUCUUGUGCCUCCAGGGUAGCGGCGGGUUCUUCCAGGUCUUCCCAUUCCACAAGGACGCGAGGUUCGUUGCCCGGGGUAAGGAGCCAGGUAAGGCCGCCGGGUUUGGGGCGGUAGCGAUUCCGGGCGUAGAGGGUGAGGGAGCCGGGGGUGAUGACAGUGGGUUCCCACUGGACUCGGUAGUACGGCGAACCUUUGCUGGUGGUGCGGGCUAUUACGUGCUGCACACGCUCCUGGUGUCCAUACAGGGUGUUGGUGGUGGUGAGGGCUUUGGUGCGGUAGGUUUCGCUGAAGUGCUUCCAGGUGUCGGACGUGGCGGCCAGGUAAGCGUCUUGUUCCUCCUGGCUGAGCUUGUGUCGGUGUGUGAACGUGGUUGGGGGCGUGGGGCCGAGGAGUAGGCGUCUGAGGUGCGCUUCGGGGUUGGGGGGCUUGGAUCGGCCGAUGAGGCUGGGGGCGAUAUCGAGCAGGUCUGCGCAGUGUGCGUCUGUAAGUGGGUCGAGCGCUGGAUCCCAGUCGAAAGCUUUUGGUGCGUCGGCUGGCGGGGCUCCCCGUCCUUCGGGCUCCCUGACCAUCUUGAUGCAGGCCCGCUUACGUUGCUGUGUGCCCGGCCGGCGUGUUUGUGCAGGUGUCUGGUUUUCGCCAUCGUGGUGUGCCGUGGCGGCGGUGGCGGCGGUGGCGGUGGUGGCAGCUGUGGUGGCGGCCGCGGCAUUUUCUCCGGUAUUGGCGGUCGGUUCGGCGGCGGGGGCGCGCUGGCGGAGGAAGCGGUUAAGUGUGCCCCAGUCGACGGCGGCAGGUGCGGUGUGGGUCGUGUGAAGACCGGUGAAGGUGUGCCCGUCCGGGAGAGUGCGUUGGACAGAGGUAAGGGGAGCGGUGCUGUUGUGGGUUUUGGCUCGGGCUCGGGUUUCAGCGUGGAGUGCGAGAGUAAGGCGGUUGAGGGCUAUCCUGUGCCGCCUGUGGGCCCGCGGGAACUUGUUUUUUAAACUGUUGGUGUCGAUGACGCAGGUGCGGUCCGGGUUGAGGAGCUCACGGAAGUCGCUGGUGAGUUCAAGGAGGGGUUGAAUCAGUCGGAAGGGUAGGGCCUGUUCCGCGUCGGUGCCUGGCGGCGCGGUGCGUGUAAGGAGGGCCGAUAGGCCGUGGAGCGUGGUGUGGUAUGUGUUGCCCUGUUGGGUUAGCUCCAGCCCCGCGUCUUUGAUCAGCGAGAGUUGUCGUAGGUUGGUGUAGAAGCGGCAUUGCGUGUGGAGUUGAUCUGCGGGCACUCUCUGUGCCACACUGUGUUGCAGGUGAAGCAUGGCGCGGGUGACGGCACCCAGCCUGCCCCCAUCGUUGAGGGCCUGGACGAGGGCCUUGCCUGCGCGGCGGACAUAUAGCUCGCGGAUGCUACCUACGCCCAGGCCAAGGGUGUUGGUGGGUUGUAGGAUAGCGCGGGUGGGGAAGCCACGUUUCAGGCCGUAGCACAUUUUUGCAGUGCUUGCAAUGAGCGCGUCGAGGCUGGCCACGUCGUGUGUGCUGUACGGCAUGAAUGGUAGGCUGUAGGCCACUGCUGGGUGGAUGGUGUAUUGUAUCAUUCGGAGUUUCUGGUCCGGUGUGGCGAGUGAUGUGGCGAUGCGUUGCCCUCGCUUCUUUAUUUUUUCCCGGAUGUACUGCACUUGUGCACUCCAGUCUAGGGUAGGGGCGAUAUGGAUGCCGAGGUAUUUGUAGGAUUCAUGUGGGGGCUUGUAUGGGAUAGCGGUGCCAUCUAUGCGUAUUUGGCCUUCGAGCAUUCUGGUGAGCGCUGCUUGGUGGGGUUUGCUGCGGGGACCACCGAGGGUGGGGUCGGCGCGGGCGCGGCCGUGGAGUAUGCCUUGCAGUUGGCAUUUGGAGACGUUGACUUUGAGGCCGCCCCAUGUUGCAUAUUUCUCUAUUUUUUCAACUUGGAUUCGUAGAUUGGAGAUUUGGGUUGUGGCUGUGACCAGGUCGUCGGCGAAGGCGCCUGAGCUGAGGUUGUGUUUAUCGUUUUCGGCUUUGGUGAGGCAUCCGUAGUGGUAUCCGCGCCCGCCAACAUGGAGCCACCGGAGUAACGGUUCGAUAAAGAUGAUGAACAGUAGCGGUGAUAGGACAUCGCCCUGUACCGUGCCGCGUUGGAUAGGGAUGGGGGGUGUGGUGCCGUGUUCAGUGCGCACGCUGGUGGCGGCUUUGCCGUAUAGGUCCCGUACCACCUCAAUCAGAUCGGUGGGGUAGCCUAGGUCGUGCAUGACGAUGAGCAGUUUGUCGUGGUCUAUCGUGUUGAAUGCGGAGGUGAAGUCAAUGUACAGUAGGAAGAGGUCGCGUCCGGUGGUGGCGGCGUCUUCUAUGGCGUGGAGCAGGUUUUGGACUUGCCGUUCGGUAUUGCGGCCUCUGAGAAAGCCUUCUUGUGACUCCGUGAAGAUGUGGGCUUGUUCGCUAAACAGGGCGGCGUUCACAGUGAUGAGGGAGGUAUACAGCUUGUAGAGGGUGUUCGCCAGCGCGAUGGGCCGCUUAUUCUGUAUCAGCAGGGGGUCUCCUUUUUUGGGUAGGAGGACGGUGUCGGACUGUGUCCAGUGUGUAGGGAUUUGCGCUUUCACCCACAUGAGAGUCAUGAGUUGGUGUAUGGCUGUUUGUAGGCUGGUGGGUAUUGUCUGGAGUAGCUCGUUCGGUAUGCCGUCGGGUCCCGGGGCCUUGCGGCGAGACAGGUGGUUGACGCAGCCAAAGAACGUGCGCGUGGUGUGCUGCUGUGCCGAGUGUGAGGAGAAGCAGCCCGACUUCGCCCAACGCGUGCCCAUGACCUUCUCUGCAUGGGAGAAGCACUGCGGCUCCAAGAACAAGAAGUGGCACACGGUGAGUUCAGCUCCCUAAGUUCGCGUGUUUCCCCUCCACCGCACGCUCAGAACCCAGGUCAUGAGGUUGGCUAGUCAGGGCGGGGGCGGGGCGUAAACGGG